rnacentral:rRNA from 1 species
CCAGACUCCUACGGGAGGCAGCAGUGGGGAAUAUUGCGCAAUGGGCGAAAGCCUGACGCAGCGACGCCGCGUGAGGGAUGAAGGUCUUCGGAUCGUAAACCUCUGUCAGCAGGGAAGAACGGUCACUGUGCUAAUCAGCAGUGAAUUGACGGUACCUGCAUAGGAAGCACCGGCUAACUCCGUGCCAGCAGCAGCGGUAAUACGGAGGGGGCAAGCGUUAUCCGGAUUUACUGGGUGUAAAGGGAGCGUAGACGGCAGCGCAAGUCUGGAGUGAAAUGCCGGGGCCCAACCCCGGAACUGCUCUGGAAACUGUUAAGCUGGAGUGCAGGAGAGGUAAGCGGAAUUCCUGGUGUAGCGGUGAAAUGCGUAGAUAUCAGGAGGAGCACCGGCGGCGAAGGCGGCUUACUGGACUGUAACUGACGUUGAGGCUCGAAGGCGUGGGGAGCAAACAGGAUUAGAUCCCCCAGUACA